UACGUAGGAUGCGAGCGUUAUCCGGAUUUAUUGGGUUUAAAGGGUGCGUAGGCGGAUCGUUAAGUCAGUGGUCAAAUUGAGGGGCUCAACCCCUUCCCGCCAUUGAAACUGGCGAUCUUGAGUGGAAGAGAAGUAUGCGGAAUGCGUGGUGUAGCGGUGAAAUGCAUAGAUAUCACGCAGGACCCCGAUUGCGAAGGCAGCAUGCCGGCUUCCGACUGACGCUGAAGCACGAAAGCGUGGGGAUCGAACAGG
rnacentral:rRNA from 1 species